UCUCCUUGCGUUCCCAGAGGAACAUACUGGAGCUUCGGGUAUAAAUACCCCCUCAUCCAGAGAUGAAGAUUACAGCUUCUCUGAGAAUCUUUAGAAUACUCUGUUCAACUUUCCGGUAAUUACAAUGGGGAAUCCCCAAACCCUUCUUGCCGAUUUGAGAGCUGGCCGGUGCUCCAACACUGCAGAGGUUAGGUUGCUGGAGGCUAGAAAUGUGAGGAAAGGCAGUGAGCUAAUGAGUCUUGACAUGCUCUUUGUCGAUGAGAAUUCGACUCUGACCCAAGGAUCUAUUAGUGCGAACCGUCAACUUAGGUUCAGGGAACGUCUCAAAGGGUCUCUCUACACGUUAACUGGUUUUGACGUCACACGCAGCAGCCACAAUUUUCGGUUGUCUGAUGCUUCCUUCUCGAUUCGGUUCAAUGAUGGAACCUCUCUUGAGAAGAAGACGGAGUCUGUUAGGCCCAUACCUUUGGAACUUUUCAGAUUCAUGCCAUAUAGUCAGUUGCUUGAGCUGGCGACCACUGGCAAACAACUCCUUCAUAUGUAUCUUCAGUCUGAGUAGUUUUAAUGGUUUUGUGAUAUCAUGUGUUAGCGUAAUCACAUAAGUUCUUUAUCAGACAUACUUGGUGAGUUGAAUGCAAUCUGCGUCUUCAAAGUGGUGAAAGUGUUAGUAUGUUUGAUUCGAUGGCUCUUGCAUUUCAUACCAAAUUUGACAGCUAUGGGAAAGAGCCAAAAGUUAUAAUUGCCACGAGCGUGAAUCCUAAGAUAGUUGGUGGUGACUUAUUAUGUAACAGACCAAGAAAGCUUCAACAGUGCCAAGCAAUGGCUAAACCAAAUCGGCCGCUACACCAGUGAGAAUGUGAACAAGCUACUGGUUAGGAACAAUUGUGAUCUCACUUCACAGAAAGUUGUAUCCGCUGAAACAACCAAGAUGAACGUGGGAUCCUAUUCUUGGAGUCACACGCCAAGAAUGCUACCAAUGUCGAAGAAUGCUACCGUGUUUGUCGCAUUAGACGGUGAAAUGACGAAGCUGAUUAGUGUCCAUGCUGCAGAGGUCCCACAAAUUAUAUUUGUCAGAAAGAAACAGAUGUGAUCCAAUUUCUUAUAAAUAAAGGUUCUCUUAAAGCUUGCUCAUCAACUCAUCUUUGUUGAAGUAAUCAAAACCUAGGUACAGCAACGUGCUUAAUCCAUCGAAGAUUGCUUCAUAAAAAAGGCCCGAUAAAGACAAGACGACCAAAAGACCACUGAUUUUACAUUGGUAGGACGCCACAUUUAAGAUAUUUUCUUAACUACUCUUAAGUUUUAGUUAUAAUGAAAGCCAGCUGUUUCAUAAACACUCUGGCAGCCACCCAACUUCAGAGUUUACGAAUAGUUCAGUUUCUUAAACAGAGCCCAACGAUGAAGUUCAUGUUGCUGGAGAUUGCUGUAAAACAAAUGAAUGAUUAGAAACAUAAUCACACAUGUAAAAAGCUACCAAAGCAUUUUUUACAUGCAAUGAAAUAAAAGAUAAUAAUAUGGCCUUAGUUGUUUGAGUGUUUUUUUUUAUUUGGAA